GCGAGAAAACUUUGCAAUGUGCGAAAGCACGACAAGGUUAAUCCGAGUGGUUUCUGCUAAAGGAACCUUUUGACAGUCCUAGAAACACUGUUGAAUAAGGGGUGGGCAAGUUCUGGUGUCAGCCGCCGCGGUAAAACCAGCACCUCAAGUUGUCAGGAUGAUUAUUGGGCCUAAAGCAUCCGUAGCCGGCUCUGUUAGUUUUCGGUUAAAUCUGUACGCUUAACGUACAGGCUGCCGGGAAUACUGCAGAGCUAGGGAGUGGGAGAGGUAGACGGUACUCGGUAGGAAGGGGUAAAAUCCUUUGAUCUAUUGAUGACCACCUGUGGCGAAGGCGGUCUACCAGAACACGUCCGACGGUGAGGGAUGAAAGCUGGGGGAGCAAACCGGAUUAGAUACCCCCGUAGUCC
rnacentral:rRNA from 1 species